rnacentral:rRNA from 1 species
UGCCAGCAGCCGCGGUAAUACGGAGGGGGCUAGCGUUGUUCGGAAUUACUGGGCGUAAAGGGCACGUAGGCGGCCCGUUUAGUCAGAGGUGAAAUCCCCGAGCUCAACUUGGGAAUUGCCUUUGAUACUGGCGGGCUUGAGUCCGGGAGAGGAUAGUGGAAUUCCCAGUGUAGAGGUGAAAUUCGUAGAUAUUGGGAAGAACACCAGUGGCGAAGGCGGCUAUCUGGACCGGUACUGACGCUGAGGUGCGAAAGCGUGGGGAGCAAACAGGAUUAGAUA